CACGGCUGGACUUUUCAGCUACGGACAAGAUUUCAAAUGCAGCCUCGCUAAGCGGCCUUCUGGCAUCCCCGAUAUAACGAAAAGUCUCGAUUCCGCGCAUGUUCGCGUGGGUGCCGGUUACGCAAGGAGGCCAACACAUGGCCGCAGGAACAGUUAAAUGGUUCAACGCCCAGAAGGGCUUUGGAUUUAUCCAGCCUGAUGAUGGAAGCGCUGACGCUUUCGUUCACAUCUCCGCCGUCGAGCAGGCUGGCCAGCAGACCCUGAACGAGGGACAGGCCGUGACGUAUGACCUCGAAAGGGGCCGUAACGGCAAGUCUUCCGCAGUCAAUCUGAAGAUUGGCUGACAAUUGCGGCAGGAACUUCGGUUCCUGCCGUUUUU
rnacentral:sRNA from 1 species